UACGUAGGGCGCAAGCGUUGUCCGGAAUUAUUGGGCGUAAAGAGCUCGUAGGCGGCUUGUCACGUCGGGUGUGAAAGCCCGGGGCUUAACCCCGGGUCUGCAUUCGAUAACGGGCUAGCUAGAGUGUGGUAGGGGAGAUCGGAAUUCCUGGUGUAGCGGUGAAAUGCGCAGAUAUCAGGAGGAACACCAGUGGCGAAGGCGGCUUCCUGGACCGGUUCGACACUGAGGAGCGAAAGCGUGGGGAGCGGAUCCGG
rnacentral:rRNA from 1 species